GAGUGUGGAGGCUUCUAAUUACGCGGCCGAGCUGCGCGGCGGGUGGGGCGGCGUGCUGUGCCCCGCAGCCGCGUACCUGAUUAUCCGUUGCUGAGGUCGUUAGAAGGGUUACUCCUGAGUUUAAGCCUGCUCCGCAAGACCCCUAAUUAUAUGCCGCUCUGCAAGUUGCAUUAAAAAGAAAUUGUUGAAAAGACAAAGGACAGAAUAACAUUUCCUCCCUCGUCUUCCCCUCUCUCCCCCGCUGCAGCACACACAGACACACACACACCCCCCCUCCACCUCUCCCUGCUGGGCCCAGAGCUACUUCUCACGCUUGAGUUGGUGCAAGCUCUGAUAAAGCCAUUGAAAGAUGCAGCGAGGAGACAGAGCGCUCCCAGGGACAGAGGGAAGCAGAAGAGGAAGCCGAAGUAAAAUGACCCCCUCCCAGGGAGCAAUGUAAUGUGGUUUCUUCCAUCGUGAAAAACCUGCUUCAGCUGGAGCUCCGGGAAGCCUGAGUCGCUAUAGAUAACACAUUCAAAGUGCAGUAUCCCUUGCACAUGCUGCCAGUUCUCAUUUUAAUCUCCCCAGACAUCAAAAAAAUUAAAAUGUAAAAUUCUCAGCUCUACAGUUGAGUGACGUGAAGGCUGCGCCCGCUGCAGUGCAAUUUCCAGAGCUGGGACAUGCACACAUGUGUCCAUCCCUGUCAGAGAUAACAGGUUUACGUGUGCUCUCCGUGAGCCCAUGAAGUGUACCACUAACAGAGAUAGAGAAUUUAAUGGGUUCUUCAUUACCACAUGUCUGGACUACUAAUGAACAAAGCCCAGGUUGAUAGCAGUAGCACUAAAUAUUUCCAGCGCUCCUUGGUGUGAUGGUAACAGUUCCAAUUUACGGUGGAGAUUAUUGCAGGGGUAUCUGUGGUACCAUGGGGGAUGCUUUCCCAGAUUGCUGUUUCAAGGAGUGGGGUGUUUGAUGCUAUUCGUGGCAUAGCAGUACCUGGAAGCCUGAAUGACAAACCAGGAUUUUGCUGCACCUGGUGCUGUAGAAACA